AUUAUCUUUUUCUUUCUUCUUUUUCUCUUUCUCUUUUCCGUUCUUCUCCUGUUCUUCUUUCUCUGUCGAAUUCGAGAGAUUAAACGAAAGUUUUGUGAUCGAUAGGAGGUGUAUAAGAUUAUGCAGUAGUUGGUGGUGAUGGUGAUGGUGUAUGUUGAUGAUUCAGACUCGAAGAAGGAAGUGAAUUAAGAAUUAGGUUUUCUUAAUAAGUUCUGUGAGUGUAGAUGGUGAAAUUGAGUAAUUAAGGAGAAGAUUAGAGAUGGGUUGUGGUUUAAUUGAAGUUUUGAAGAUUGAUUCGGUGAUGAAUCGAUGACCUAGGGUUUCUUGAGAAGAACUCUGAGAAGAUUUAGAAAGUGAAUCUAAUACUAUGGAUAGAUGAUUAGAAGUGGGUUUAGUUGAUUGUGGAACGGGACAAGGUUAAUUGGAUGAUAUGGAGUUGCUUGUGAAGAAUUGAAGAGUUAGGGUUAUGUUCUUCCCUAAAACAGAAAAUAGGGUUUAAUUGAGAAUUGGUGGUGUUUAUUCGAAGAUUGAUUCAAGUUCAGAGAAGCUUUGAGGUCAAUGAUAUGGAAUGACAAAGUAAUAUGAUUAUUAUUUUGUUAAGUUGAGACUGAAUAAUCUGGUGAUGCAAGUAUGAGUGGAUUGGAUAACAGUUGGGAGUGAAGUGUGGUUAAAAUGAAAGUUGCAUAUUAGGUUUGAGUUUGUUUUGCAGUUGGGUUUGAGAUGAAUCUGAACUUAGGUUGAAUGCCAGGAAGAUUUUGUUUAGAUAUGAAGAUGCAGGGAUGGUUCUGUGGAAUGAAUGUGACUGAAGUUGCAGGUGAUUAUGGUUUGGCAAGUGCAUGAUCUUGGAGAUGUUAAGAGAGUUAGAAUUGAUGAGUGAUUGUAGAUAUUAAUUGAUAAACAGAAUUGAGAAGUUUCAUUUUGGGAAAGACUAGUGGCUCGAGAGGUAUAAGUUGGACUUAGUAUUGGAGAUAUAUUGGUGGUGUAUGUAUUGCAGAUCAUGAGAAUUAGUAGAGAAGGUGUUGCAUAAAGCUGCAAUUGCAGGUAAACCGAAUUAUCAGUUGUAAUUGAGUUAUGAAAUUAUAGUAACUGAGUUUGAUAGUAUUGAUUGUUGAAGUGUAGAUAAGAAGAGGAAUCUGAAUUAGUUUAUGUUGACUUGAGUCUCCUCAGUGGAAGCUUGCAACUGCAUUUGCAGGUAAAGCUAAGUUUGUAGUUGAAGUUAAAUCAUGAAGUUUAAUUGAAAUGUAUAUGUUUCUUUGUUGUAAUGAGAACUGUAAUUUGAAUUUGAUUGAAGUUCAAAUGAUAAGAAGAAGGCUAUGUUGUAAGAA